CCUACGGGAGGCAGCAGUGGGGAAUAUUGGACAAUGGGCGAAAGCCUGAUCCAGCCAUGCCGCGUGUGUGAAGAAGGCCUUCGGGUUGUAAAGCACUUUCAGUGGGGAAGAAAGCCUUGGGGCUAAUACCCUCGAGGAAGGACAUCACCAACAGAAGAAGCACCGGCUAACUCCGUGCCAGCAGCCGCGGUAAUACGGAGGGUGCGAGCGUUAAUCGGAAUUACUGGGCGUAAAGCGCGCGUAGGCGGUCUGAUAAGCCGGUUGUGAAAGCCCCGGGCUCAACCUGGGAACGGCAUCCGGAACUGUCAGGCUAGAGUGCAGGAGAGGAAGGUAGAAUUCCCGGUGUAGCGGUGAAAUGCGUAGAGAUCGGGAGGAAUACCAGUGGCGAAGGCGGCCUUCUGGACUGACACUGACGCUGAGGUGCGAAAGCGUGGGUAGCAAACAGGAUUAGAUACCCGAGUAGUC
rnacentral:rRNA from 1 species